GGAGGGUUCGCCUAGUCCGGUUUAUGGCGCACGGCUGGAAUCCGUGUAGGCCCGCAAGGGUCUCGGGGGUUCGAAUCCCCCACCCUCCG
rnacentral:tRNA from 1 species